GACGAACGCUGGCGGCGUGCCUAACACAUGCAAGUCGAGCGAGGAAUGUCGGAUAGCUUGCUAUUUGAUAUUUCUAGCGGCGGACGGGUGAGUAACGCGUGAGCAACCUGCCUUUAUCAGGGGGAUAACGCAUCGAAAGAUGUGCUAAUACCGCGUAAGACCACAGCCUCACAUGGGGCAGAGGUCAAAGGAGCAAUCCGGAUAAAGAUGGGCUCGCGUCCGAUUAGCUAGUUGGUGAGAUAACAGCCCACCAAGGCGACGAUCGGUAGCCGACCUGAGAGGGUGAUCGGCCACAUUGGGACUGAGACACGGCCCAAACUCCUACGGGAGGCAGCAGUGGGGAAUAUUGCACAAUGGGGGAAACCCUGAUGCAGCGACGCCGCGUGAGUGAUGAAGUAUUUCGGUAUGUAAAACUCUAUCAGCAGGGAAGAUAAUGACGGUACCUGACUAAGAAGC
rnacentral:rRNA from 1 species